rnacentral:rRNA from 1 species
AUUGAACGCUGGCGGCAGGCUUAACACAUGCAAGUCGAGCGGAGAGAAGUAGCUUGCUACUGAUCUUAGCGGCGGACGGGUGAGUAAUGCUUAGGAAUCUGCCUAUUAGUGGCGGACAACAUUUCGAAAGGAAUGCUAAUACCGCAUACGUCCUACGGGAGAAAGCAGGGGAUCUUCGGACCUUGCGCUAAUAGAUGAGCCUAAGUCGGAUUAGCUAGUUGGUGGGGUAAAGGCCUACCAAGGCGACGAUCUGUAGCGGGUCUGAGAGGAUGAUCCGCCACACUGGGACUGAGAUACGGCCCAGACUCCUACGGGAGGCAGCAGUGGGGAAUAUUGGACAAUGGGCGGAAGCCUGAUCCAGCCAUGCCGCGUGUGUGAAGAAGGCCUUAUGGUUGUAAAGCACUUUAAGCGAGGAGGAGGCUACUUUAGUUAAUACCUAGAGAUAGUGGACGUUACUCGCAGAAUAAGCACCGGCUAACUCUGUGCCAGCAGCCGCGGUAACAC